GUACUGUUGAAGAGUCCCACACUAGUGAAACGAAACAGCUGUCCAGUAC
rnacentral:hammerhead_ribozyme from 1 species